rnacentral:rRNA from 1 species
CCUACGGGUGACAGCAGUGAGGAAUAUUGGUCAAUGGACGAGAGUCUGAACCAGCCAAGCCGCGUGAGGGAUGACGGCCCUCUGAUUUGUAAACUUCUUUUGUAUGGGAAUAAAGUCAUCGACGUGUGCAGUUUUGUAUGUACCGUACGAAUAAGGAUCGGCUAACUCCGUGCCAGCAGCCGCGGUAAUACGGAGGAUCCGAGCGUGGUCCGGAUUUAUUGGGUUUAAAGGGAACGGAGGGGGUGUGAUAAGUCAGGUGUGAAAGUCUGCGGCUCAACCUGAAAAUUGCAGUUGAAACUGGCAGACUUGAGUGCAGGAGAGGUGGGUGGAAUGCGGGGUGUAGCGGUGAAAUGCGUAGAUAUCACGAAGAACCCCGAUUGCGAAGGCAGCUCACUGGACUGCAACUGACGCUGAGGCUCGAAAGCGUGGGUAGCAAACAGGAUUAGAUACCCGGGUAGUC